GGGUGCCCGGCCCCCCAGGAGAAAACCUCAGCUUCUGGGAGGCAUGUGAGGAGCUUCGAUAUGGAACGCAGGCCCAGGUCCCCACCCUGGUGGAUGCCGUGUAUGAGCAGUUCCUGGCCCCCGGAGCUGCCCGCUGGGUCAACAUCGACAGCCGGACCAUGGAGCAGACCCUGGAGAGGCUGCGCCAGCCCCACCGCUACGUCCUGGAUGACGCCCAGCUGCACAUAUACAUGCUCAUGAAGAAGGUGGGUGCUGGGCCAGCCUGGAGGGGCAGGAGGGGUCAUCCCAGACGGGCCUCCAUGUCCCCACCCUCAAGGGCUCUGUCUGCA
rnacentral:lncRNA from 1 species